GGGGCGAGAUGUUCACCUUCAGCUCAUUUUCUGCCACUUUGAAGAUAGAGAAGUCCUGCUGUUUCCUUUCAUGGUUGGACACGCGCCUUUUUGUGCGAUUAUCAGCUAUGAACAGACACAAAUCCGAGAAAACAAAAAGAAAGUGGACAUUGGGGGAUUAGUCUCCAGACACUUUGACAGUUGGAAGACUUGGCUUCCUUACGUAAACACAGAGAUUACACAAUCAGUCUGGGGAUGCCUGCAUCUGCUGAAUAAACUGCCCAUGCUGCUGCCACCUCGCCUGAAGGCUCUGACACACAAACACAAGAAGGUGCCAUGGGAAAGCUUUCCAGGCUUUUACUGCAGCCAUCUUCAAAUUUUACUCGUUGUGAAGUCUCAAUAUCUUUUUUCUGGUCUUCAGGAAUCAUUUGAUUCUGCUUAUUGGUAGCUGAGGAUAUCCAACCUCUUCACCCUGAAAAUUUCUUUGUUGUCAUGUGUUUAGAAUAACCGUCCUGUUGCACGAUAAAAAUUCACCCUGAGAGUUUUGAUGUGUAUGACUCAGAGUGAGCAGGCUACUUAUCCUGGCGCUUCACCAGCAGAAUGAAUAAAUAGACAGUUAUAAAUAAAAGCCAGUGUGCCUGUUCAUUUGGCAGCCAUACACACCCAAGCCAUAAGAGGAGUACCACUAUGCUUGACAUAUGAGGUGGUAUGCUUUGACUCAUAAACUGUUUCUUUUUAUUCUCUGGUAUUUCCUCUUUCAUUUGGAUAGUGGCUGAUGUUUAUUUCAACAAUCCUUAGGAUUUGCCUUCCACGACUCCCCCGGCCUUCCCUUUGUAUGUUUUUGUAAAGUGCAUUCCAUCUUUUUAUUUUAGAUGUUUGCAGGAUUUUGUAUCUCGUGUUGAAUUGUCUGAGGUUGUGGUCAUUAAGUAUUCUCUUUGUUGAUGGCUGACAAAGAAAAACAUGCCUCUAAAGAACACUGUGGAAAGCAUUUUUGAGUUGCUGUGCAAUCAUAAAGGGGAGUUUUCUUCAGCAUGAACAUCCACAAGAAAAGCAGCUUCUUUGCUAUCGAUUUUGGAAAGACUUUUAUAAAUGUCUGAUAGAUUUUUACUUGUUUAAUUGCAUUAUCUUUUUCACUUGCUCUGUCACUUUUUUACCAAACAAUUUUAAAAAAUAAAAAAAAGAUCAUUGUAGCUGA